AGGACGAACGCUGGCGGCGUGCUUAACACAUGCAAGUCGAGCGGUAAGGCCCUUCGGGGUACACGAGCGGCGAACGGGUGAGUAACACGUGGGUAAUCUGCCCUGUACUUUGGGAUAAGCCCGGGAAACUGGGUCUAAUACCGGAUAUGACCUUGUCACGCAUGUGGUGGGGUGGAAAGUUCCGGCGGUACGGGAUGGGCCCGCGGCCUAUCAGCUUGUUGGUGGGGUAAUGGCCUACCAAGGCGACGACGGGUAGCCGGCCUGAGAGGGCGACCGGCCACACUGGGACUGAGACACGGCCCAGACUCCUACGGGAGGCAGCAGUGGGGAAUCUUGCACAAUGGGCGAAAGCCUGAUGCAGCGACGCCGCGUGAGGGAUGACGGCCUUCGGGUUGUAAACCUCUUUCAGCAGGGACGAGCGAAGUGACGGUACCUGCAGAAGAAGCGCCGGCUAACUACGCGCCAGCAGCCGC
rnacentral:rRNA from 1 species